rnacentral:rRNA from 1 species
GUUGCUCUCACACCCGGACCGAACGGACGCAGCAGCAGCACAGUGUGGCCUGACACGUGAGCGGCCAGGAUCUGCCACCACUGCCGGAGCGCGCUGGUCGCAGCCGAUCCGAAUCCCUCCGCCCGAAUAUCCCAGCCAGCCCCCAUCCCCUUUGCCUCCCUCCCGCUGCUUGCUUUGCUAUCCAAUCCCGCUCUUUGUUUCCUUCGCCACUCUCUCUCCUCACCCUCCGUCCUCCUCCCCGUCUCACGGCACGGGCAGCGGAGGCUGCUCGCUCGGGCCGUCUAGGCGCCUCAGCCUCGGCGGUUGUGGCCCAACGACGCGGCAGAUUCCUCGAGCAGUUUUGGUGAGAAUUCGAUUCCUUCCCCGUCCUCCUCUCCCUUACGGGUGGGAUUGCUGUGCUGGGCCUGUAUGUUCAGGUGCUAGCUUCACAGGAAGGGGUAUCUAUAUUAUAGAAAGGAUAGUGAGAAUGGCAAAUUUGGUCACCAACUGUGGUUUCAGUCCAUCUCCUGCUGUUAAGGCACACUGCAACUCACCAAGUUAUGGCCACAAUUUCAUCCGAUUACAAAAUUCGAAAUCUUCAACUUCAAGUCUGAACCUCAAAUCAUCUUGCAAGAGGUCAAAUAAGUUAUAUGUUACUUGUGCUAGUACUGCUGUACAAGGACAGACACAAACACCUCUUACUGGUAGUCAACAAGCAUCUGGGCAAUCAUCCUCUAAACCCAAAAAAGUUAUGGUUAUUGGUGGAGAUGGGUACUGUGGCUGGGCAACUGCUCUUCAUCUGUCCAACAAAGGUUAUGAGGUUGCUAUUGUUGAUAAUCUUGUUCGACGCCUUUUUGACCAUCAACUUGGCCUUGAUUCACUUACUCCCAUAGCUUCCAUCCAAAAUCGCAUUCGCCGAUGGAAAUCUCUUACUGGGAAGACAAUUCAGCUCUUCAUUGGUGAUAUAUGUGACUUUGAAUUCCUUUCUGAAGCCUUCAAGUCUUUUGAGCCAGAUUCUGCUGUCCACUUUGGUGAACAAAGAUCAGCACCAUUUUCUAUGAUUGAUCGUUCACGGGCAGUAUACACACAAAACAACAAUGUUAUUGGAACGCUUAACGUAUUGUUUGCCAUGAAGGAGUUUAGUGAAGAGUGUCAUUUGGUUAAACUAGGAACUAUGGGUGAAUACGGAACUCCAAAUAUUGACAUUGAAGAGGGAUUCCUCACUAUUACUCACAAUGGAAGAACUGAUACCUUACCUUAUCCAAAGCAAGCAAGCUCCUUCUAUCAUCUAAGUAAAGUGCACGACUCUCACAACAUAGCAUUUACUUGCAAGGCUUGGGGUAUAAGGGCCACAGAUCUUAACCAAGGCGUCGUCUAUGGAAUCAGAACAGAUGAAACUGCUAUGCAUGAAGAGCUGUCCAAUAGGUUGGACUAUGACGGAAUCUUUGGAACAGCACUAAAUAGGUUCUGUGUUCAGGCAGCUGUCGGUCACCCGCUUACAGUUUAUGGAAAAGGCGGUCAGACCCGUGGAUACCUGGACAUCAGGGACACCGUGCAAUGCGUGGAGCUAGCGAUCGCAAACCCAGCCAAGCCAGGCGAGUUCAGAGUCUUCAACCAGUUCACCGAGCAGUUCUCUGUGAACGAGCUGGCCAAGCUGGUGACCGCCGCGGGAGCGAAGCUGGGGCUGGACGUGCAGACCAAGUCGGUGCCCAACCCGCGCGUCGAGGCGGAGGAGCACUACUACAACGCCAAGCACUCGAAGCUGUCGGAGCUGGGGCUGGUGCCCCACCUGCUGUCAGACUCGCUCCUCGACUCGCUGCUCAACUUCGCCGUCCAGUACAAGGACCGGGUGGACACGGCGCAGAUCAUGCCCAGCGUGUCGUGGAAGAAGAUGGGGGCCAAGCCGAAGACGGUCUCUGUAUAGAGCGAGGGAGGGAAGGGGGCUUCCCCUUUGUUGUGUGGCGUAUGAUGUCAACCAUGACAUUGACAUUAUGUCCUGUUGUGUGUAAUGUAGCAGUAAUAAUGUAGCGAUAAUAGUUUGGUGCACGCUGUAGUGAGGUGUGGAAGUUGCUGGUUACGCUGAUAGAUUUUAUUUUUGCCCCACGGGUGGGAACUGCAAUCGAGGAGCAUUUGUGUAGUCUGUUGUUAAUUCUGACUAGCAAAUUUAGCUACACUGGGUGUUACUGCAGAUUUCCGGCUACGUUAUAGGAGCCCUGGUUAGAGCAAGUACAAUAGUGACCUUAUAUCUAAGACGGAUUUUGAGAAUAUGGGGCAACGGAGCAC